CUUCCUUCCUCUUCUUCGACGUCUUUCCAGUGUCUCUAUCCAACUUCUCGGCCUUUCAAAGUUUUCUUCCAUCCUCUACCAUUAAUUUGACAUAUUAUUGCUUUUUUCGAAACACUAGCAUUCACAUCAUGAAUCUCUCUUCGACUUCUACUUUCUUACCCUAUCGUAUUUGUCUGUAUAAGAUGGUUCCAGAAUUGAAGAAUUUCUAUUGAGGGCGACCAAAAGUGAGCUGUAGUCUAUCUAAUAGAUCCUACCCGAAAAAACUGCAGAGAGGUUUCAAGCAAAGAUUCAACAACACACACUGAUGUGUAUAUAUAUAUUUGUUGGUCUACAAUCGCGUUCUGAGUUGCAAAUUCAUUGCUUUUAUUGCAAUCUUAACUCCAUAGACCUAAGUUAUGAUCUGAUAUUGAAUCCGAUUUAUCCCUACGCAAAACCUGUGUAUCCACUUUUAUAUAAAGUUUGAACUCCAGAUUCUGGAAAGCCAAGAACAUCAAACACUGUGGCAAGCUGACGGGAAUGGAUAUGAUCCUACUGGAUGCAAAGGUUGUUCUAAUCUUAAACUCAUGUUCAUAAUUUUAUUCAACUUUUCCAGUGGGUUAAAUCCUCAUUAUCAAGUUUCUUUUUUCGGAUCUUUGUUGGAUAUAUUUUUGAACAAGUAAUUUUGAAACCGUCUAUUUGAUUAUUCCGUCUAUUUCACAUAUGUUUCAGAAUUUAGUUUCUUAGUUUUUUUUUCUGUAAACUUGGUUAUCAGCAUUUCUUCUGUGUUCAUAAGCUAAAGCUAUGACCUUAUGUGUAUAUGUAGCUCUGACAAGAUGUGUAUCUUGCUUAAUCUUGCCGCCAAGUGUGUGCAUAUCUUCUCAGUUAUUUUGCAGAAUGUCAGGAGCCACCUUCAAUGCAGACAUGCCGAGGUUGCAGAUAGAGAACUUUUACUACACUCUUGAGGUGUUCUGUCUGAAGAGAUCAAGUCGAAAGAGAGUGUGACUUGGUCUGUGGAUAGACCAAACACUAUCUUCGGCUUCUCUCCGUAUAACUUGAUGAACAUUGUGGGGACUCUCGGCGUCUACGCAGCCAUCUGCAAGCACGAAGGGUCU